GCUCGCGCUAGCGAUGCUUAACACAUGCAAGUCGAACGAUGAUCCCAGCUUGCUGGGGGAUUAGUGGCGAACGGGUGAGUAACACGUGAGUAACCUGCCCUUGACUCUGGGAUAAGCCUGGGAAACUGGGUCUAAUACCGGAUAUGACUCCUCAUCGCAUGGUGGGGGGUGGAAAGCUUUUGUGGUUUUGGAUGGACUCGCGGCCUAUCAGCUUGUUGGUGGGGUAAUGGCCUACCAAGGCGACGACGGGUAGCCGGCCUGAGAGGGUGACCGGCCACACUGGGACUGAGACACGGCCCAGACUCCUACGGGAGGCAGCAGUGGGGAAUAUUGCA
rnacentral:rRNA from 1 species